ACUCCUACGGGAGGCAGCAGUGGGGAAUAUUGCACAAUGGGGGGAAAACCCCUGAUGCAGCCAUGCCGCGUGUGUGAAGAAGGCCUUCGGGUUGUAAAGCACUUUCAGUAGGGAGGAAGGUAGUGUAGUUAACACCUGCAUUAUUUGACGUUACCUACAGAAGAAGCACCGGCUAACUCCGUGCCAGCAGCCGCGGUAAUACGGAGGGUGCGAGCGUUAAUCGGAAUUACUGGGCGUAAAGCGCAUGCAGGCGGCCUGUUAAGUCAGAUGUGAAAGCCCGGGGCUUAACCUCGGAAUUGCAUUUGAAACUGGCAGGCUAGUAGUCUUGUAGAGGGGGGUAGAAUUUCAGGUGUAG
rnacentral:rRNA from 1 species